GAAAUGCGAUAAGUAAUGUGAAUUGCAGAAUUCAGUGAAUCAUCGAAUCUUUAACGCACCUUGCGCUCCUUGGUAUUCCUUGGAGCAUGCCUGUUUGAGUAUCAUGAAAUCUUCAAAGUAAAUCUUUUUUUAACUCAAUUGGUUUCUACUUUGGUAUUGGAGGUCUUUGCAGCUUCACACCUGCUCCUCUUUGUUCAUUAGCUGGAUCUCAGUGUUAUGCUUGGUUCCACUCGGCGUGAUAAGUUAUCUAUCGCUGAGGACACUGUAAAAGGUGGCCAAGGUAAAUGCAGAUGAACCGCUUCUAAUAGUCCAUUGACUUGGACAAUACUUUUAUGAUCUGAUCUCAAAUCAGGUAGGACUACCCGCUGAACUUAAGC
rnacentral:misc_RNA from 1 species